CAGCCGCCGCGGUAAUCCGUAGGUGGCAAGCGUUGUCCGGAAUUAUUGGGCGUAAAGGGCCCGCAGGCGGUUUCUUAAGUCUGAUGUGAAAGCCCCCGGCUCAACCGGGGAGGGUCAUUGGAAACUGGGAAACUUGAGUGCAGAAGAGGAGAGUGGAAUUCCACGUGUAGCGGUGAAAUGCGUAGAGAUGUGGAGGAACACCAGUGGCGAAGGCGACUCUCUGGUCUGUAACUGACGCUGAGGAGCGAAAGCGUGGGAGCGAACAGGAUUAGAGACCCCAGUAGUCCCUGUCUCUUAUACA
rnacentral:rRNA from 1 species